rnacentral:rRNA from 1 species
CGGGGAUGAUUAGCGGCGGACGGGUGAGUAACACGUGGGUAACCUGCCUUAAUGAGGGGGAUAGCCUUCCGAAAGGAAGAUUAAUACCGCAUAAUAUUAAGUUUUCGCAUGAGAGCUUAAUCAAAGAUUUAUCGCAUUAAGAUGGGCCCGCGGCGCAUUAGCUAGUUGGUGAGGUAACGGCUCACCAAGGCCACGAUGCGUAGCCGACCUGAGAGGGUGACCGGCCACAUUGGGACUGAGACACGGCCCAGACUCC